rnacentral:rRNA from 1 species
GACGAACGCUGGCGGCGUGCCUAAUACAUGCAAGUCGAACGCUUCUUUUUCCACCGGGGCUUGCUCCACCGGAAAAAGAGGAGUGGCGAACGGGUGAGUAACACGUGGGUAACCUGCCCAUCAGAAGGGGAUAACACUUGGAAACAGGUGCUAAUACCGUAUAACAAUCAAAACCGCAUGGUUUUGAUUUGAAAGGCGCUUUCGGGUGUCGCUGAUGGAUGGACCCGCGGUGCAUUAGCUAGUUGGUGAGGUAACGGCUCACCAAGGCCACGAGGCAUAGCCGACCUGAGAGGGUGAUCGGCCACAUUGGGACUGAGACACGGCCCAAACUCCUACGGGAGGCAGCAGUAGGGAAUCUUCGGCAAUGGACGAAAGUCUGACCGAGCAACGCCGCGUGAGUGAAGAAGGUUUUCGGAUCGUAAAACUCUGUUGUUAGAGAAGAACAAGGAUGAGAGUAACUGUUCAUCCCUUGACGGUAUCUAACCAGAAAGCCACGGCUAGCUACGUGCCAGCCGCCGCAGUAA